AUGUAAAAGGGUACAUGUCCCAUUUCAUGACUUAAGACAGUGUAAGUGUAAAACACUGUAAACGUGUAAAUAGUCAUAAUCCACAGGAUGAGGUUCCAGAACUUCCUGAAGCCUUCUCAGCAGUCUCUCCAUUAACUGCCUGCCAGUGGAAGGUGCUUGUAAUUAUACACAACUUAGUGAAAUUGAAUGAGAAAU